UGAGACAGUUCGGUCCCUAUCUGCCGUGGGCGCUGGAGAACUGAGGGGGGCUGCUCCUAGUACGAGAGGACCGGAGUGGACGCAUCACUGGUGUUCGGGUUGUCAUGCCAAUGGCACUGCCCGGUAGCUAAAUGCGGAAGAGAUAAGUGCUGAAAGCAUCUAAGCACGAAACUUGCCCCGAGAUGAGUUCUCCCUGAGACUUUAGGUCUCCUGAAGGAACGUUGAAGACGACGACGUUGAUAGGCCGGGUGUGUAAGCGCAGCGAUGCGUUGAGCUAACCGGUACUAAUGAACCGUGAGGCUUAACCUU
rnacentral:rRNA from 1 species